rfam:Pteropus alecto contig35391, whole genome shotgun sequence.
GUACUCGCUUUGGCAGCACAUAUACUAAAACUGGAAUGAUGCAGAGAAGAUUAGCACAGCCCCUGUGCAAGAGCGACAUGCAAAUUCAUGAGGUGCUCCAUAUUUUU